rnacentral:rRNA from 1 species
AUUGAACGCUGGCGGCAGGCCUAACACAUGCAAGUCGAGCGGAUGACGGGAGCUUGCUCCUUGAUUCAGCGGCGGACGGGUGAGUAACGCCUAGGAAUCUGCCUGGUAGUGGGGGACAACGUUUCGAAAGGAACGCUAAUACCGCAUACGUCCUACGGGAGAAAGCAGGGGACCUUCGGGCCUUGCGCUAUCAGAUGAGCCUAGGUCGGAUUAGCUAGUUGGUGAGGUAAUGGCUCACCAAGGCGACGAUCCGUAACUGGUCUGAGAGGAUGAUCAGUCACACUGGAACUGAGACACGGUCCAGACUCCUACGGGAGGCAGCAGUGGGGAAUAUUGGACAAUGGGCGAAAGCCUGAUCCAGCCAUGCCGCGUGUGUGAAGAAGGUCUUCGGAUUGUAAAGCACUUUAAGUUGGGAGGAAGGGCAGUAAGCUAAUACCUUGCUGUUUUGACGUUACCGACAGAAUAAGCACCGGCUAACUCUGUGCCAGCAGCCGCCGUAACAC